rnacentral:rRNA from 1 species
UUGGAGGGCAAGUCUGGUGCCAGCAGCCGCGGUAAUUCCAGCUCCAAUAGCGUAUAUUAAAGUUGUUGCAGUUAAAAAGCUCGUAGUUGAAUUUCGGGAUUAGUACGUCGGUCGUGCCUUAGGUACGUACUGGUGUUACUGGUUCCUACCUUCUGACGAACCAUCAUGUCAUUAAUUUGGUGUGGUGGGGAAUCAGGACUGUUACUUUGAAAAAAUUAGAGUGUUUAAAGCAGGCUCGCGCUUGAAUACAUUAGCAUGGAAUAAUGAAAUAGGACGUUGAUCCUAUUUUGUUGGUUUCUAGGAUUGACGUAAUGAUUAAUAGGGAUAGUUGGGGGCAUUAGUAUUCAAUUGUCAGAGGUGAAAUUCUUGGGUUUAUUGAAGACUAACUACUGCGAAAGCAUUUGCCAAGGAUGUUUUCAUUAAUCAAGAACGAAAGUUAGGGGAUCGAAGACGAUCAGAUACCGUCGUAGUCUUAACCAUAAACUAUGCCGACUAGGGAUCGGAUGAUGUUAAUUUUUUAAUGACUCAUUCGGCGCCUUACGGGAAAC